ACGGGUGAGUAACACGUAGGUGACCUGCCUUUUAGAGGGGAAUAACCAGAUGAAAAUUUGGCUAAUGCCGCAUACGAAGAGCAAAGCUAAGAUUAGCUCUUGAAAGGAUGCCUCUGUAUAUGCAUCCACUAAAAGAUGGGCCUGCGGAACAUUAGCUAGUUGGUGGGGUAAAGGCCUACCAAGGCAACGAUGUUUAUCCGGUCUGAGAGGAUGAUCGGACACACUGGAACUGAGACACGGUCCAGACUCC
rnacentral:rRNA from 1 species